rnacentral:rRNA from 1 species
UGAGUACGAGAUGCUACGGCAUCGAAGCAGUCUAUGUCAUACUUCCAAGAAAAGCUUGCAAUGUCAUAAACAAAUAAUGCCUGUACCAUAACCGACACAGGUGGGUAGGUAGAGUAUACUAAGGGGCGCGAGACAACUCUCUCUAAGGAACUCGGCAAAAUGACUCCGUAACUUCGGGAGAAGGAGUGCCUUAUUUUUAUAAGGUUGCAAUAACAAGAUCCAAGCAACUGUUUACCAAAAACACAGGUCUCCGCUAAGUCGUAAGACGAUGUAUGGGGGCUGACGCCUGCCCAGUGCCAGAAGGUUAAAGAAGUUGGUUAGCAUUAGCGAAGCUGAUAACUGAAGCCCUGGUGAACGGCGGCCGUAACAAUAACGGUCCUAAGGUAGCGAAAUUCCUUGUCGGGUAAGUUCCGACCCGCACGAAAGGCGUAAUGAUUUGGAUACUGUCUCGGAGAGGGGCUCGGUGAAAUAGACUUGUCUGUGAAGAUGCGGACUACCUGCACCUGGACAGAAAGACCCUAUGAAGCUUUACUGUAACUUGAGAUUGAAAUUGGACUUUAUCUGCGCAGUAUAGGUGGGAGACGUUGAAAAUAUUCUUGCGGGAAUAUUGGAGUCAUCAGUGAGAUACCACUCUUAUAAUGUUAGAUUUCUAACUUUGUAUCAUUAUCUGGUCAAAGAACAGUUUCAGGCGGGCAGUUUGACUGGGGCGGUCGCCUCCCAAACGGUAACGGAGGCGCACAAAGGUUUCCUCUGAACGUGUAGAAAUCGUAUCUAGAGUGUAAAGGCAUAAGGAAGCUUGACUGUGAGACCUACAAGUCGAGCAGGGACGAAAGUCGGUCUUAGUGAUCUGACGGUGCUGAGUGGAAAGGCCGUCACUCAACGGAUAAAAGUUACUCUAAGGAUAACAGGCUGAUCUCCCCCAAGAGUUCACAUCGACGGGGAGGUUUGGCACCUCGAUGUCGGCUCAUCGCAUCCUGGGGCGGUAGUACGUCCCAAGGGUUGGGCUGUUCGCCCAUGAAAGCGGUACGCGAGCUGGGUUCAGAACGUCGUGAGACAGUUCGGUCCAUAUCCGGUGUAGGCGUUAGAAUAUUGAGAGGAGCCUUCUUUAGUACGAGAGGACCGAGAAGGACAUACCUCUGGUGUACCAGUUAUCGUGCCAACGGUAAACGCUGGGUAGCCAUGUAUGGAGAGGAUAACCGCUGAAAGCAUCUAAGUGGGAAGCCCACCUCAAGAUAAG